AGGAGAAUCCAAGAAAAUCAAAUGUCAAUUUUUCAGCCUCCAACCUUAUGUGUCACAUUUAGGGCGAACGUGUCAAACAGAUUAAUUUAGGUAAUUAGUCCUUAACCCUAGGAUUAAUCGAAAUGUGGGCAUCAUAAAAAGGCAGGGAGAUUGGAGAUAAGUUUCUCGAACCUAAAAGAGGCGCCUCACUGCUUAAGUUUCAUCGCCUCACAGAGAAAAUUAGAUUCAGAGAGAAAAGAGAGGACAAGCUCUGUCAAUUGCAGCGCCUUGCAAUUCCUGUAAGCUUGCCAGAGAAAUCAGUGGUUGCAAUUGCAGUUGUUGGUAAUCUCUAAUCCUGAUUUGUUAAUCUUAUGAUUCAUUGUCAUUAAAAAUGGAUAAAUUAGAUGCUACUGGUGGUGAAAUGGAUUGCAAUUUCAGAUGUUUAGAUUCUGACGUUGAAUUGUUUAGUCACUGUAAUACUGUGAUUCACUUAUGGAUUUGUUAUGAUAGUUUUAAUCUUGGGGGUUGCAUGUUUUAUUAACCCUUCCACUAAAGAAUACAAAAAAAUUCUUAAUCAAUUUAGGAUGAUUCUGAAGAUGGUUAGAUAUAGAGAUCGAUAAUUACAAAUUAGUAAUGCUCCACAGAUUAAGAGCAAAUCCACAUCUAAACCAGAUUCAUUGAUUAAAUCAUAAAAAGCUACGGGUUCACUAAACCAGAUCGAAAUGGGGUUGGUCUGAAGACCAAAUUCAAGUAGCCUUCUGUUGGCUUCUGAGAAGAAGAUAACAGAAAAUAUUAGAACGAUUGUGAAUCAAAUGGGUGAUAGUUUUUCAUGAACUCAUCGUGGGUCCGGUAAAACGAAUUGGAAUCUCCAAAGGUCUGAUUAAGAAAAACUUCACAUUGCUAUCAUGGCAUCUGCGCAAGAUUGAUUCAGAUUGUUCUAGUGGUGGUUGUCAAUGUGGAGUUAAUUGGACAAGUUUUCCACCUGCUCUUUAUGAUGCUAAGAGAAUGCAAGUGGAGAACAAGGUGGUGAAUACUUGUAAUUGAGCAUUUGAAGACGUCGCUUAUGAUGCUGAAGACAUGCCGGGACGAGAAUUGAAAUGAAAUUCAAAACAAGAUUUCAAGACGUUGUUUAUGACGCCGAUAUCUCGAAACCAAUUUGUCUCGGUCUCAAGAUGGCUCAAGAGAUCAAUGAUCUCAACCAGAUGUGCGGUUUAAAAAGCAAGGAUAGUCUCAAGAUGGCUCGAGAAAUAAAUGAUCUCAGCGAGCUUAGUUUUUACAAGCUAUGGAAGAUCAAUGACCUCAUCCGGAUUAGUUUUUACAAGCUAUGGAAGAUCAAUGAGCUCAACCGGAUUAGUUUUUACAAGCUAUGGAAGAUCAAUGACCUCAACCGGAUUAGUUUUUACAAGCUAUGGAAGAUCAAUGACCUCAAUCGGAUUAGUUUUUACAAGCUAUGGAAGAUCAAUGAUCUCAAGCAGAUACAAGGUUUAAAGAGCAAAGGAAAAGCUAGUACUACAUUCACUAAAGAAUACAAAAAGGAGGAUGCCUGGCACCCCUUGUACUUGAUGUUUUAAUUUAUAGUUGUAAAAGUGUAUGUAACUGUAAUAAUGAAAUGAAUGUGCUUUUUUCUCCUAUUUGUUAUA